AUUCAUAUACUUAAUGAUUGUUUAGUUUACUGUCAGAGUUGUUACAAAUUAAAUUUUUGGGAAUGAGUGCUAAUUUUCAACGCGUUUGUUUAAAGUCGAUAUUUAUGUAGUAAGAUGAAUCCAAAAAGGACGCCGUAUUUGUUUGGGCCUGUUAUGGCCGCCAUUUUUCGUCUUGAAGACCAAGGUUUUCGUUUAAGUGAUAUUAGAGUUCUGCGCGAGGUAAGCCGUGGACUGAAGAAACAGUGCAAACGCGAACCGCCGAAUCUUAAAAUGCGCGUUGCUCAAGCGCUUAAUUAUGGUAUAAAAGGUGGGGUAUUGCUUAAGACGUCAGGGCGUAUGCGUAUGACGGUUGGACCGAAAGCACUUAAGCGAUUAGAAUUAAAUAGACCUCAAGUAGUUCCUUCGCGUCGGAAGAAAAAACUACCAAGAAGAAGCAAUGCAAAUCGGUUAAAUCUAAACGAGAAAAACCGAAAAACGUGAAAAAAUCAUGGAAAUCAUAUUUUUCAUUUGCCACCAAGAAAAUUACUGGAGAUCCAAAUAAAAAAAAGUGUGCGUGUAAAAGAAAAAAUACAGAAAAAGCAGAAAAAGAAGAAAAGAAAGAUACAAAACAGUCACAGACAAAACAAGAUUCAAAAACAGAUGUUAAAAAUAAAGAUACAUGCAAGCAAGAUGAUCAUAAGCAAUCUGAUCAUGAAAAAUCUAAAUCUCAACUUGAAAAACCCACUGAUGAAGUGGUAUUACCACCACAGCGUUCAAGAAGUCGCCGCCAUUUGAGUAGGAAGAAGAGUAGCGCUGUCAAAACUGGCGUGCUUAGUGGACGAGUGUCAAAAACAGUACAUCCACGUAAAAGUAAAAGUACACAUCGUAAUCAAAACACAUCAUCAACCAUAGAAGUCGGAGACGAAGAAUCUCCCGAUGAUAAAACUGUUGUAUUGGAUAAUUUCCAUAACGGGAACCACCAAGAUCCUCCCGUGGUUAAAAACACUGAUAACACUGAUAAUCGACGUAGCAAACGCGAAACGAAGGGCAAAUCAAAAACACGAAAUUACAUAAAUUGAAAUUAUUAAAAAAUUAUAUUCAAAUGUAUAAAUUUCAUGUUUAAAUAAUAUGUUUCCAAAUA